rnacentral:rRNA from 1 species
AUUGAACGCUGGCGGCAUGCCUUACACAUGCAAGUCGAACGGUAACAGGUCUUCGGAUGCUGACGAGUGGCGCACGGGUGAGUAAUACAUCGGAACGUGCCCGAUCGUGGGGGAUAACGAAGCGAAAGCUUUGCUAAUACCGCAUACGAUCUACGGAUGACAGCGGGGGAUCUUCGGACCUCGCGCGGCCGGAGCGGCCGAUGGCAGAUUAGGUAGUUGGUGGGAUAAAAGCUUACCAAGCCGACGAUCUGUAGCUGGUCUGAGAGGAUGAUCAGCCACACUGGGACUGAGACACGGCCCAGACUCCUACGGGAGGCAGCAGUGGGGAAUUUUGGACAAUGGGCGCAAGCCUGAUCCAGCCAUGCCGCGUGCAGGAUGAAGGCCUUCGGGUUGUAAACUGCUUUUGUACGGAACGAAAAGGUGCCUUCUAAUAAAGGGCGCUCAUGACGGUACCGUAAGAAUAAGCACCGGCUAACUACGUG